UGAGCUCGAUGAGUAGGGCGGGACACGUGGUAUCCUGUCUGAAUAUGGGGGGACCAUCCUCCAAGGCUAAAUACUCCUGACUGACCGAUAGUGAACCAGUACCGUGAGGGAAAGGCGAAAAGAACCCCGGCGAGGGGAGUGAAAAAGAACCUGAAACCGUGUACGUACAAGCAGUGGGAGCACGCUUAGGCGUGUGACUGCGUACCUUUUGUAUAAUGGGUCAGCGACUUAUAUUCUGUAGCAAGGUUAACCGAAUAGGGGAGCCGAAGGGAAACCGAGUCUUAACUGGGCGUUAAGUUGCAGGGUAUAGACCCGAAACCCGGUGAUCUAGCCAUGGGCAGGUUGAAGGUUGGGUAACACUAACUGGAGGACCGAACCGACUAAUGUUGAAAAAUUAGCGGAUGACUUGUGGCUGGGGGUGAAAGGCCAAUCAAACCGGGAGAUAGCUGGUUCUCCCCGAAAGCUAUUUAGGUAGCGCCUCGUGAAUUCAUCUCCGGGGGUAGAGCACUGUUUCGGCAAGGGGGUCAUCCCGACUUACCAACCCGAUGCAAACUGCGAAUACCGGAGAAUGUUAUCACGGGAGACACACGGCGGGUGCUAACGUCCGUCGUGAAGAGGGAAACAACCCAGACCGCCAGCUAAGGUCCCAAAGUCAUGGUUAAGUGGGAAACGAUGUGGGAAGGCCCAGACAGCCAGGAUGUUGGCUUAGAAGCAGCCAUCAUUUAAAGAAAGCGUAAUAGCUCACUGGUCGAGUCGGCCUGCGCGGAAGAUGUAACGGGGCUAAACCAUGCACCGAAGCUGCGGCAGCGACGCUGAUGCGUUGUUGGGUAGGGGAGCGUUCUGUAAGCCUGCGAAGGUGUGCUGUGAGGCAUGCUGGAGGUAUCAGAAGUGCGAAUGCUGACAUAAGUAACGAUAAAGCGGGUGAAAAGCCCGCUCGCCGGAAGACCAAGGGUUCCUGUCCAACGUUAAUCGGGGCAGGGUGAGUCGACCCCUAAGGCGAGGCCGAAAGGCGUAGUCGAUGGGAAACAGGUUAAUAUUCCUGUACUUGGUGUUACUGCGAAGGGGGGACGGAGAAGGCUAUGUUGGCCGGGCGACGGUUGUCCCGGUUUAAGCGUGUAGGCUGGUUUUCCAGGCAAAUCCGGAAAAUCAAGGCUGAGGCGUGAUGACGAGGCACUACGGUGCUGAAGCAACAAAUGCCCUGCUUCCAGGAAAAGCCUCUAAGCAUCAGGUAACAUCAAAUCGUACCCCAAACCGACACAGGUGGUCAGGUAGAGAAUACCAAGGCGCUUGAGAGAACUCGGGUGAAGGAACUAGGCAAAAUGGUGCCGUAACUUCGGGAGAAGGCACGCUGAUAUGUAGGUGAAGCGACUUGCUCGUGGAGCUGAAAUCAGUCGAAGAUACCAGCUGGCUGCAACUGUUUAUUAAAAACACAGCACUGUGCAAACACGAAAGUGGACGUAUACGGUGUGACGCCUGCCCGGUGCCGGAAGGUUAAUUGAUGGGGU
rnacentral:rRNA from 1 species